GAAGUUGAAUGGAGGAUAGGUAGAGGUUAAACUGUAGUAUAUUACACUUCGAUGUUGGGAGAAACAAGUAUUCAAAUGCUUACUAUUCUCUUUAUUCCAAAUCAAAGCUACAAGAACUUCUAAUAAGAGCUUAGUACUAAAUAUAUGUACCAUCAGGUGUAUGUGUAUAUGUGUCUAUGAAAUAAAUAAUCUGAUGUGUAUUAGAGUGGAACUUAGAAAUUAAUACUCCAUAUGCUGCUCCUAAAGCUAAAUAAAUGAUUUCAAAUUGAAAAUAAUAUUCAUAAGUAAAAGCUAAUAUUUACAAAUGUAUGAAAAUAUUUACAAAUGAGUGAAAAUUGGAAAAUACAUAGAAAAUUUUAAUUGAAUUAUUUCUUUACAACUCUACUUCCAUCUCGUGGUCUGAGCUCUAUUCUAGUGAGUGAAACCUCUCACUACUACUUCCCUACUUCGCUCUCGUUGUCUGAGCUCUAGUCUAGUGAGUGAAACCUUUUCAUUUAUUUGUAUAGGGACAGGUUCAGAUGAAAAGCAUUUUUGUUGUUGUUAUUAGUUUUUGUUGGUUGUUCGAUUGACUGUUGUUGUUGCGUUAGAUUAUGACCACGAAUUUAAUAAAGGUGACGUUUGAUGACAUUGUUGUUCUGAGACAAAACACAAGAGUAAGAUUGUGGAACUAGUUGCAGCUGAAUUACUGCCUUAGUCCAACUAGGUUUAUUUGGAUUUCGAUAAUCGCGUACUAACACAGUUUCACCUUCAGAAAAAACUCCUUGCGAUUACCGUUGUGAUUAACAAUGUUGUUGUCUUGCGACUUCAGUAUGUUUUUUGGGGGUUUUAGAAGACUACAUCUGGUUUUGAGUUUUCUGCCAAAGAACAGCGUAGCUGGAGAUUCAGUUGCUGUGCAAUGUUUCUGUAAUCCAUAAGGAAACGACGUAAUAUUUGAUCCAAAUUGGCAUCUUUGUUUUGGUCUAAAUUUGCUAAAAUAGACUUUUUAUAAUUUUUCUGGUUGACCAUUUGUGGACGGAAGUCUCGAAGGAGUCAAAACAUGUUUUAUACCAUUUAAGGUCCGUUGUCACUGACGAGCGUGUCAACUAAACCAUAGCAAGAAAAAAAAUUCUCUCAGCUUUCUAAUUGUAAAAACAAUUGUUAAAUCUUUGAUUUUAAAUACUUCGACGAAUUUUGAAAAGCAUCAAUGAUAAUAAAGAAGUGAACAUUUUUAAUCGGGACAGCAAAAUCAGUGUGUAUUCUGCUCCAAACAGAACCAUCAGGCACCCACGGAUUUAGGCUGCACUUUUCUGAACUAGAUUGUAAUUUUUGACAAUGUAUACAAUUGCUGAUUAAGUUUCAAUAUCUUUAUCAAGGCCAGGCCACAAUAUAUACGAUUUAGCCAUCGCCUUAGUUUUUACAAUACCCAAAUGGAAACGAUAUAAUUCAGUUAAGAUUGCAAAUCUCAGUUUUUUUGGAACUAAGAUUCUGUAUCCCCACAGAACGCAAUUAUUUUCGACGGAAAAUUGUGUAUCUUUCUCAAGAUAUAGCGUAAAAAAAUCAUUCUGCUACUUUUUACAAAACAGUGUCACGACAAAUGAUAAAAAUGAGACAUAAUCUGCGCAAAAUUGUCCAUAAAUUUUGAAUAAUAGUUCGCCAUACAAACAAAGUCAAUUUUUGUCAAUAUUAAAACCUGGAUAUGAAAUGUUGGAUUUGAAAAAUUCGGACUUUUUUUAAUUCAGUUUUAAUUCAGAACUUUGUAAUUUUUGUAGAACCAAACGCAAUGUACUUAUAUGCUCCUGUAUGUUUUUACCAGUGUAAUAUCAUCUUGUUAUACAAUAAUAUACGGAAUUCCUCUGAAAAGAUUUUCCAUAGUUUUUGAAAAAUAGCCGCUUUCGUCUUUGCACCAAAAGGUAAACAUUUUACUUUCAAAGUUCCAAUGUGCGUAAUCACGCACACAACAGUUGAGAAUACUCAACGAAAACAACUUGAUUGUAGGCAUUCGAUAAAUCAAGUUUAGUGAAAAGUUCACCACCCUCCAAAGGAGCAAAAAUUUCUUCAAUCCGAGGCAAAGGAUACUUGAAAUCCUCUAUAAGUCUCUUAAAUGUGACUUUAUAGUCUCCACAAAUGCGAAAAUCGCCAUUCGGUUUCAAAAUUAAAGGUGUACACUAAUGGGAGUUAUCUACUGGUUCCAACACACCAGUCGCAAUCAAAUCCCGUAAUUUCGCCUCAAUCUUGUCUUUCCAAGCCAAAGGGACAGGCCUUGACCAACAAAAAAUGGGCGAUGUAUUUUCGGCAACCUUCAGUGAAACAAUAUUGAUAUUGUAUUCCCCCAAUUUUUCCUCAAAAACCACAGAAAAUUCCAUUCUCAACUGCUCAAUUACAGAAUUUAAAUUUGGGCAAUUCAUAUUGUUCAGUAAUACAAAGUUGAAAGCACGUAAAAACGAACGUCCAAGUAAAGGAUGGUACUAAAUUCGAUUUUCGCGCUGAAACUCCAUGUAAAAAAAUGAGCGGAAAAUAUUGUUGAAAAGUGUUCAUUUCGCUAUAACUUGUUUUUUCAUCUAGGGGAAAUUUUAUUUCACGACGCCCAAAAAGAUCACAACCACUGUCGCUGCGCAACAAGUCGUUUUCUUACGUAAAAUAAACCUGAUCGCCAAACUUCUAAUUGUAACUAAGUGUUUGGUGUAAAAAAAAAAUAUUAUUUGUGGAUGCAUAAAUAAGAAAAUAUUUGUAUAAAAAUAUAAAUAAAUACACUUCUAAAAUAAAUAAAAAAUAAAUGUUUCUUUCAUAUCAAGCUUUUGCAAUAAAUCUGUACGAAGUAAUAACGAUUGUGAAAGAAAGUGCUGCGCUUUUGGUCUUGCUAUGACAACAACAUUUUUAUACAAGUGGAAGAUGAAAUACUAGAAAAUCUAAUUAUGAAAAUACUAGAAAAUCUAAUUAUUACUACAAAUAAAUGCUGCAUUUGUCUUUUGUAAAAUUGUCUUGUGUUUCAUUAUUUAUUAAUUACGAAAGGGUGGGUUUUGGCUGAAAUUACAACAACAUAUUUGAAUUUGAGUACGACCCAAACACACAUUUGUGUGUACACAUGCAUGUAAGCAGCUGAUAUAUUAUUUGAUGCCAUAUUAAUUUUUAUAAGUAAAUGGCAACAGUAUGGCCAAAGAAAAAUCAAAUGUGGUAACCUUGUCGAAAGAACGAUAUUCGGAAAUUUUUCCACAAAAAGAACGAAGUACCAGCCUUUAUGCAUAGCAUAUGUUUUAUCAACAUUGCCAAUCCAUGUGGGGAGGAAAAAUUUGGAAUUUAGGAGAGGAAUAAAAAGAAGGAGACAUCUUUUCAAUUUUGGUUGGCUUGGCAGCAGUAGAUGGUCCGUUGGACAUUGCAUAAAAGGGAGGUGCUGGUUGGCGCGCAUAAAGAAGUCGGCAACAUAUUCACACUGAGUCUUACCGCUUUUACCACCUAGACAAAAGCACGUGCUUCUGUCUGUUAUAGUAGUAAAGUUAACUAAAUCUUAAAAAAACGUGUGUGUAAAAUCCGAGGUUGGAUCUGCGUUUAAGUUUCCGCUAGUCUGACCAACACUCCUGCUGCCACAUUGUUGGAACUGCUGUCGAACACCUUGCGUCCUGCGGUGUUAAGUUGUUCCCGAAUAUCGAAUAUACUAACGACAAGAGAGCGGAUAUUCCCACUUACCAGGUAGGCAUCCAGGCUUCGGAUGGUAAUCUAGUUGUGAUCAAUCUCGCAACACCAACCAACGCUGUGGCAGAGGGUGCAACCGCAUCGUCUACCGAGCCUUUAAUACCAAUUGACGUAUCAAUCAGCCCGGAUGCACUCGACAACACAAUAGCGUCACCAGAGUUUUCGAGCUUAACCGCCCAAAAUAUCAGACGAGACAUUUGGCAGGAUAAUGGCAGCUAUAGGUCGGAUAUAGCUCAAGGGAGUAAUCUUCAGGAGAUGGUGGCCUCUACUGGUCUGGUCCAAGUACAACUAAUGCGUAGUAUCGAAUCGAUACGUCAAGUCCAACAAGAUUUACAACGAACGCAACCGACAUUUACAGAUCCGACUGGCCAAUCCAUGAGUACUGAUGUAUAUCAAACAGGGUCCGGGGUAAGAUCGCCAUUGGCAACAGCUCCAGGAAUACAUUCACGGCCUCCGCCCAACCGCUUUGGGGCGCCAGCAGGAAACAUACACCCACCAACAUAUCAUUACCGUCAAGCAGCGCAUAUAGGAGUCGGAACGGCAGCCCAAGAUAUGACGUAAAGAAAUGGGGAGUACGUUUCGAUGGUAGCGAUCAGAAAAUAUACGCGGAGUCCAUGAGCAAAGACUUCCUACAGCUGCUCGCAGGUAGUGCCCUUGAUUGGUACUGGCAGCAGCGUCGUAUCGCUCCCUUUAAUCACUGGGAAGAGGUAAGGGAAGCCUUCUUAACCCAAUUUCGACGCUUUCAGAAUGAAUUUCAAAUUCAGAAGAAGAUAAUGGCCUGGCGUCAGUUGCCUAAUGAAUCGUUCGAAGAGUUCUUCAAUGCUAUCGUCUGUAGCCUCAUUGAUUUCCCCAUCAGAAUACACGGAUUAAACCAUUUCCGCCAAGAGGUUGAGCGCGCCGAAUCGAUGAUUGCGGGACAAAGACAGGCCUAUCAACCACCGAAGCUAUAUGAGCUCGAAUAUACGGAGACUAACGCUGAAAGUAACCUAGAGGUGGACGCAUUGGUUGUUACUAGCCGCUACACGUGUUGGAAUUGUAGAAGCAUUGGUCACGGUUAUAUAGAUUGCCCUAUUCCAAUCACCAUAGUAUUCUGUUUUAAGUGUGGAAGGGAUGGAGUAGUUAGUCCAAAAUGUCCAAACUGCCAGGGAAACCUGAAUCGGAGCGCCCCUUUAACUGCGGAUGCGCGCUCCACCCAAACGGAGACACAGUAGGAUCAGUAGGAGGUGACCAAAUAGAUAAUGAUUCUGAAAAUUUUGUUACCAUGCUAGUUAAUUGAAACAGGGAAUUGGAUGUGCAGGAGCCGAAAUCACAUCCCUUAAGACCAUUACAUGUUCGAAAGAGAGAAUAUAAUGAAACAAGAAAGAGAAUUUUUGGAGAUAUUUUCAAAAAGGAGCUUGAGGCGAGAGAACGAUACGAAAAGAGGAAGAGAUUAAGGAAAGAAAUAGCCUCGGCGCUGCUGUUUGAAAGGGAGGAUUCCAGGUUCUAUGCGACAAUCAAAAUAAAUGACGAGGAAAUUGAGGGUCUCCUUGACAGCGGUACCACCGUUUCUUGCUUGGUCCCCAUAGGAUAGUUGGAUUUUUUAGAUGUUCGGUCUUGCCCCCAACGGGGUUGGUCUCUGUGACGAUGCUGAUUGUGGUGCCAGUGAUGGCGGGUCCGUCCAUAUACUGACUGACAUUCAACGCAGUCGUUUAAAGGCAGUGGUAGCUAGAUUUCCUUGUUACACGGACAAGGUCUGAGGUCCAAACGAUUGACACAGGGAACGCCACUCCGGUUAAGAGUCGUCAUUAUCCUGUUUCUCCGGCGGUGCAAAAAUUAAUAUAUGCGGGAAGGGUUGCUAAGCCAGCUAGGAGACACGUACUGCAUCUCUAGUGUCGAUCUCAUAGAUGCCUUCUGGUAGAUCCCAUUGGAGGAGUCCAAUAAAGAGAAGACUGUUUUCAAAGUGCCGGGGAGACCACUGUAUCAAUUUACGGUCGUGCCUUUUGGAUUGUGUAAUGCAUCUCAAAUCUUAUGCCGUCUAAUGGAUAAAGUGAUCCCUUCGGCACUACGAAAUCAUGUUUUCAUUUACUUCGACGAUUUCGACACCCACUUGGCAUUAUUGUCGCGUGUCGCAGAUCUGUUAGCGGAGGCGGUAUUGACUAUUAAUAUGGCUAAAUCUAGGUUUUGCUCUAAGGAACUAAGAUACCUAGGAUAUAUAGUUGGUGGGGGUAUGCUUAUACCAGAUCCCGCAAAUAUUGAGACAAUCACUCGCUUUACCUUUCCGAAGACGGCCAAACAGAAGCGUAGCUUUACUGGGGCGACGGACUGGUAUCGGAGGUUUAUACCGAACUAUGCUACGAUAGCGGAUCCGAUAUUCGGAACUUUGAAAAAGGGAAGGUCUUUUGAAUUUACUGAUGAGGCCAUGACGACCUUUGAGAAAUUGAAAACAGCGCUGGGGACCAGUCCCGUUCUGACUCACCUGGACUUUGGGAGAUAUUUUUAUAUCCAGUUCGGCGCAUUUGAUUUUGGAGUAGGAGCGGUACUCUUUCACAAGGAAAGUGAAGGCGGAGAUCACCCGAUUGCCUAUUACUCCCAGAAAGUGUCACCGGUGCAGAAGAAGUUCUAUUACGGAGAGAGAGUGUCUGGCUGUAGUGAACGCGGUCAGGAAAUUCCGUCCAUACGUAGAACUUAAGCCUUUCACGGUCAUUACCUAUCAUAGUAGCCUGAAAUGGAUGAUGUCAUAUAAAGAUUUGAGGAGCUUGACCAGAUGGAGUCUCCAUCUACAGUCUUUCAGCUUUGGUAUUGAGCAUCGUCAGGGAAGCAGAAAUGUAGUGCCGGAUACCUUAUUAUAAGAAACUGACAAUUAGCAGGAAUUCAGGGAGUUUGCCCUAUGUUCGAGUUAUCGAUUUUUGUGUACGAGACGACCCACUUUUAUGAUGGGGUGCCGAUCAAUGAGGACUUUGCGUAAAAAUUAUGGGUCCCGCUGGAAUUGACAACGGGAAUAAUUAAAAGGGCUCACUGUUAGCCAGUGGUGGCACAUGGGGGCUAUCGUAACACCUUAAGGAAGAUCAGGGAGUUCUUUUAUUGGCCGAAUUUAAAUAGACACGUUCGGGAGUUUGUGCUGAGGUGGCAAGUCUGUAAAGCUUCUAAACCGGCUAAUAAGACUCUUCGCCCGCCGAUGGGUAAGGAGGCCGAUGAAGAGAGACCUUUCCAGACAAUAUAUUUGGAUUUCUUGGGUACGUACCCUCGCUCUUAGGCUGGAAAAGCAUAUAUCUUUAUCAUUUUAGACCAUCUCAGUAAAAUUUUACAUCCUAAGGUUAUAAGAAGGGCCAACACUGGGAGCAUAAUAAUGUUUUUGAUAGCCGAGGGCAGCAAUUUCUUGCAAAUGACAUUGGGAACCUGGUGACAAGUUUUUGCAUUACUCAUGACCGGACGGCAACGCAUUCGCCACAGGCCAAUACAUCGAAACGUGUAAAUCAGAGCAUCCUUUCGGCCAUAUGGGCAUACCUUGGGGAUGGCCAACAGGAAUGGGAUAACUACUUGUCGGAGAUAGAGUGCUCACUGAGGUCCUCGAUACAUUUCUCAUUAGGGGAUACCCUGAGUUUUGGUUGAAAUUACAAAAACACAUGAAUUUCAGUACGACCCAUACCCCCCUCACAUUUGUGUGUACACAUGUUCGUAACGAGCUGAU
rnacentral:sRNA from 1 species